UUGAGGUCGCUGGAAGCGAGAGAUGGAGUUCUUUCGCCGAGGAGCUGCGCCCUCGUUUCUGGUCCAGCGGCUGGAGCUAGGCUAGGGUUAGGUCGAGAGGGCAGCUCGUGGAGGCACCUGGUUCUCAUUGCUUCCUCCCAGCAGUGGGUUGAUGCCAGCGUCUCAGUCCUGGAAACCCCGCGGCUAGAGAGCAGUAGCCGUGUCGCUCAUGGUCACUCGGUGACAAUGAGAAGGACCCAGCCCAGAGACUGGACCCGAGGAGGUGCUAGGAGGCCGCCUAGCAUCGCGUGGGUCUGUCCUGGGGCCCAGACGGACGCGCCGCCCCGCAGGUGUGUCGCAGUCCAGGGAGCCCGGACAGUGGCAGAGCUGCGGUGCAACCCUGGGCAGUUUGCCUGUCGCAGUGGUACCAUCCAGUGCAUCCCUCUCCUCUUGCAGUGUGACGGCUGGGUGACUUGUGAGGAUGAGAGCGACGAAGCCAACUGUCCAGAAGUGACUGGGGAUUCUCGACCUUACCAUGGGAAGGAAGCUGUGGAUCCGAGGCAGGGGCGGGCCCGAGGUGGCGACCCCACGCAUUUCCAUGCAGUGAAUGUGGCGCAGCCUGUUCGCUUCAGCAGUUUCCUAGGGAAGUGUCCGACAGGGUGGCACCACUAUGAAGGCACGGCCAGCUGCUACAGGGUCUACCUGAGUGGAGAGAACUACUGGGACGCUGCACAGACCUGCCAGCGCGUCAAUGGCUCCCUUGCCACCUUCUCCACCGACCAGGAGCUGCGUUUCAUCCUGGCCCAAGAAUGGGACCAGCCAGAGCGGAGUUUUGCUUGGCAGGACCAGCACAAGUUGUGGGUUGGCUACCAGUAUGUCGUCACCAGCCGGAACAGCUCCUUAGAAGGCCACUGGGAGGUAGCAUUCAAAGGUUCCUCAGAGGUUUUCCUGCCCCCAGACCCCAUCUUCGCCUCGGCCAUGUCUGAAAGUGACAAUGUGUUCUGCGCCCAGCUACAAUGCUUCCACUUCCCCACUCUCCGCAACCACGACCUACACAGCUGGCAUGCGGAGAACUGCUAUGAGAAGUCUUCGUUUCUCUGUAAAAGAAGUCAGACAUGUGUUGACAUCAAGGACAAUGUGGUGGAUGAAGGGCUCUACUUCACCCCCAAAGGAGAUGACCCGUGCCUGAGCUGCACCUGCCAUGGAGGGGAGCCAGAGAUGUGUGUGGCUGCCCUCUGCGAACGGCCCCAGGGCUGUCAGCAGUACCGCAAGGACCCCAAGGAGUGCUGCAAGUUCAUGUGUCUGGACCCAGAUGGGAAUAGCCUGUUCGACUCCAUGGCCAGUGGGAUGCGUCUCAUUGUUAGCUGUAUCUCCUCCUUUCUCAUCCUGUCCCUGCUGCUUUUCAUGGUCCACCGGCUACGCCAGAGGCGCCGGGAGCGCAUUGAGUCCCUGAUUGGAGCAAACCUGCAUCACUUCAACCUUGGCCGGAGGAUCCCCGGCUUUGAUUAUGGCCCAGACGGGUUCGGCACAGGCCUCACGCCGCUACACCUUUCUGAUGAUGGAGAAGGAGGGACUUUCCACUUCCAUGAUCCUCCGCCCCCCUACACCGCGUACAAGUACCCAGACAUUGACCAGCCUGAUGACCCACCGCCACCCUAUGAGGCCUCCAUCAACCCUGACAGCGUGUUCUACGACCCUGCAGAUGACGAUGCUUUCGAGCCAGCGGAGGCCAGCCCGCCAGCCCCAGGGGAUGGUGACAGUGAAGGUGCGUCACCCCGGUGCCUGGAGCAGCCUCUGCCCUCUGCAGGGGUCACCCUGGCAGACCUGGAAGACUCAGCUGACAGCAGCAGCAUUCUGCUCGUACCCCCCGACCCUGCCCAGAGUGGGACGCCCCCAGCCACAGAGGCACUGCCAGGAGUUGGCCGCCACAGCCGCAGUUCCCUCAAUACCGUGGUGUAGCGGAUGCCCAGCCCAUGGCCCCAAGGGGCCUGGAGCACCUGUUUGCUGUCAAGGAAACUCUGAUUCCCGUGGAGACUUGAAGAGCCCUAUGUGAGCCUGGACUCGGCUGCACUGCUGCACACACUCCCCUGCAGGUGUGCCCGUGCUUGUAGAGACUGCGCCAGCCUCCCAAGGGAGCGAGCACCUGCAUCCAGUCUCCUUGAGGGCUUCAAACACAUGCAUAGCUUUGGGUCACUGUCUUUUUCUUUUCAAAUGACAGAAGAAUGGCAGUUUGUUCAUGCCACACGUUUCAGAAGUAGGGAACAAAGAAGGUACUGCGGGCCCAGGUAGAGGCCAAACCACACCAGACUGGUGGGCUUGCUCGUGGCAACACGUUGUUCAGAGGAGCAUGCUGCCCAGCCACCAAGCCCCAGAGCUGCCACAGUGUGCCUCGCUGGCCGCUGCCCAGGAAGCACCAGUGUUUGUGGACUGUCAGGAUUGUCUGGGCAGUGAGUCUGCUUCCGGGCAGACAGCCUUGAGAGUUGCUCCAAUGGCUGCUCUGAGGAUGGCCCCUCACAGGUCUAGCUUGAACAUCGAGGGUGACCCUGUCUUAGCUCUGGUGCCCAAACCCUAAGAAGGGGAGCUUGGAAGGAGGUUGAACUCCACUCUGUCUUUCCAGCGGGGCUCUGCAAAGCCCAGUUCUGUGCCAGAAAUCCCUAUCCCUAGUCUGUUGGAUUUCUCCCUAACAUUACCGUGCAUGGCCCCCCAGGAGGCAGCUCUGGAGCUGGGCUGAGGCCCUUAGCCAUGCAUGAGUGUCCUGGCCCUGGACCCUUCACUGGGCUUGAGGGCUAAGCCAGCUCCUGUUACCCUUUGGAGCCCCCUCCUAUUGAAUUUGCCCCUGGACCUGGCCUGCCCCACCCCCCUCUUGUGCCAUAAAGGUUUAUUUGGGGGGAGGGGUGGCUGAAAUUAACAUCCUGGGCUGUGUCCACUUCCUGAAAGUCAGUCCACUUCUUGCACAUCACCACCACCACUAGAGCUGAGUGCCUGGUGGCUGCUUGCCACCUUCCUGUCCUUAGCACAGGGUGCUGGGUGCCCUGCUCAGGGGCCUUUUGACUGAGGGACCCUGUUGCCUACUCCUGAGCAGUGGUCUUGUCUCCUGACACCAGGCUUUUAGCAUUUCUGAGGUUUGGAGAUUAAGCGGGUUCUGUGCGAUUUUUUAGCACAUCCAUAUCUUUUCUACGUUGAAUGUCUAGAUCUUUUUUGCGUGUGUGUGUGUGUGUGUGUGUGUGUAUGUAUGAGUGUGUAUGUGUACGUAUAUGUCCAAGUGUUUGCAGGUGGUGAUGGUACACAGGAACUCCAUCUUCAAUUUCCUGGGCCAACAUGGCCUCUUGGGUGGCACUGAGGCAUGGCCAGGUCUGUGCCUCUUCUGAGGCAGGUUCUCAUGCUCAUCUUCCUAACUCAGCCGCCCAGCUCCUGGUCCUCCUCUAAGCCUUUCUGUACCAGCCUGCAGCUAGGAGAGCUGGCUUUCAGUGGGAGCUUCCAUGGUGGUCUGACGACAGACCUCACAGGCUCAGCCCAGUUCUAGGCACAUUUUCAUACUUUGGUUGGAAACCAGUUUUGUUCUUGAGUAGUCCCACAAGGCUGACCAGAGAUAUGAGUUUUGUCACUGAACUGCCUGUCCUUGGGCUCGGCCCGCAGAAGCCAGAGUGUGUGCUCCCCUUGCCAGAGGGCUGCUACUUGGAGAAGGGCAUCCUGGGCACAUGUGCCCAUGCUGGCUCCUGAAAACAAAACAGGAAGUGGGUGGUGCCUCCAACGUGUGCUGGACACAGGGCUGCCAAUUUCCAGAGCAGCAGUCACAGCCUUGUGGGUUAGGGUCCUUAGUGGGCCUACUUUGAAAUGACCACCCCAAUGGAAUCCUGUAGGGUCUGGCCCCCACAGCACCAGGUCCCCUUAUUCCAGUGUCCCUGGCCCAGGCUUCAGCUGUGUGUACAGGGCAGUGGCUAGCACUAGAUGUGUGGGACUGGGGAACUUGCGGACUGAAAGAUUGCUGGGGACUGGCAUGCAGGAGGUACUAAGGAGAGGGCCUUGAAUCAGAUCAUGGGGCUGCAGAGGGUGGGCCCAGAGUGUUCAGCCUACUGGCAUUCUUGGGCUGGGCAGAAGGCUGCCCGCUGCCCACUGAGUCUCCCAGAGCUGAGCUCUGCUUAAAGGUGGUUGUGAGGGCAUCGGGGAAAGCUGUGGUCUGUCUGGCUGACCUUGGCCUCCUGUCCAUUCACCACCCUUUGUAAGAUCUGAUUGUGCUCCAGGUCCAACCCUGGCUGAGACUCUUGUGUUCCUGUGAGAGGACUCCCCACCUGAUGCACAUUGGGCCUCCAGAGGGACAGGCUAAGGUCUCGGGAGGGCCUCCUCCCCAAGAACCUGACCUGUCUAUGGAGGUGGGAGUGAAUCUGUACAUUGUCUCAAUGCCUGUUUUUUAUGUUUUCCUUUCACUAAGGGUUUUUAGUUUGGGUUUAUUUUUGGUUAGGUUGGCACUAAUCCUUAAGAUGCUGUGAGAACCAUUUCAUCCAAAUGCCAAAUAAAUUUGUGUUCUGGAAGAGGCA